AGAGUUUGAUCCUGGCUCAGGACGAACGCUGGCGGCGCGCCUAACACAUGCAAGUCGAACGAGCGAGAGAGAGCUUGCUUUCUCAAGCGAGUGGCGAACGGGUGAGUAACGCGUGAGGAACCUGCCUCAAAGAGGGGGACAACAGUUGGAAACGACUGCUAAUACCGCAUAAGCCCACGGCUCGGCAUCGAGCAGAGGGAAAAGGAGCAAUCCGCUUUGAGAUGGCCUCGCGUCCGAUUAGCUAGUUGGUGAGGUAACGGCCCACCAAGGCGACGAUCGGUAGCCGGACUGAGAGGUUGAACGGCCACAUUGGGACUGAGACACGGCCCAGACUCCUACGGGAGGCAGCAGUGGGGAAUAUUGCACAAUGGGGGAAACCCUGAUGCAGCGACGCCGCGUGGAGGAAGAAGGUCUUCGGAUUGUAAACUCCUGUUGUUGAGGAAGAUAAUGACGGUACUCAACAAGGAAGUGACGGCUAACUACGUGCCAGCAGCCGCGGUAAAACGUAGGUCACAAGCGUUGUCCGGAAUUACUGGGUGUAAAGGGAGCGCAGGCGGGAAGACAAGUUGGAAGUGAAAUCCAUGGGCUCAACCCAUGAACUGCUUUCAAAACUGUUUUUCUUGAGUAGUGCAGAGGUAGGCGGAAUUCCCGGUGUAGCGGUGGAAUGCGUAGAUAUCGGGAGGAACACCAGUGGCGAAGGCGGCCUACUGGGCACCAACUGACGCUGAGGCUCGAAAGUGUGGGUAGCAAACAGGAUUAGAUACCCUGGUAGUCCACACCGUAAACGAUGAUUACUAGGUGUUGGAGGAUUGACCCCUUCAGUGCCGCAGUUAACACAAUAAGUAAUCCACCUGGGGAGUACGACCGCAAGGUUGAAACUCAAAGGAAUUGACGGGGGCCCGCACAAGCAGUGGAGUAU
rnacentral:rRNA from 1 species